rnacentral:rRNA from 1 species
UACGUAGGGUGCAAGCGUUAAUCGGAAUUACUGGGCGUAAAGCGUGCGCAGGCGGUUUUGUAAGUCUGUCGUGAAAGCCCCGGGCUCAACCUGGGAAUUGCGAUGGAGACUGCACGGCUAGAGUGUGUCAGAGGGGGGUAGAAUUCCACGUGUAGCAGUGAAAUGCGUAGAGAUGUGGAGGAACACCGAUGGCGAAGGCAGCCCCCUGGGUCAAGAUUGACGCUCAUGCACGAAAGCGUGGGGAGCAAACAGG